ACUCCAGAACUGCCAUUGAUACUAUUUAUCUUGAAUAUUGUGGAGGUAAGCGGAAUAUGUCAUGUAGCGGUGAAAUACUUAGAUAUGACAUAGAACACCCAUUGCGAAGGCAGCUUACUACGCAUAUAUUGACGCUGAGGCACGAAAGCGUGGGGAUCAAACAGGAUUAGAUACCCUGGUAGUCCACGCCCUAAACGAUGGAUACUCGACAUACGCGAUACACUGUGUGUGUCUGAGCGAAAGCAUUAAGUAUCCCACCUGGGAAGUACGUUCGCAAGAAUGAAACUCAAAGGAAUUGGCGGGGGUCCGCACAAGCGGUGGAGUAUGUGGUUUAAUUCGAUGAUACGCGAGGAACCUUACCUGGGCUAGAAUGCUGGGAGACCGCUAGUGAAAGCUAGUUUUGUAGCAAUACACUGCCAGUAAGGUGCUGCAUGGCCGUCGUCAGCUCGUGCCGUGAGGUGUUGGGUUAAGUCCCGCAACGAGCGCAACCCCUAUCUUUAGUUGCCAACAGGUAAUGCUGGGAACUCUAAAGAAACUGCCGCCGUAAGGUGUGAGGAAGGAGGGGAUGAUGUCAGGUCAUCAUGGCCUUUAUGCCCAGGGCUACACACGUACUACAAUGGGGAAGACAAAGGGCUGCAACAUAGCGAUAUGAAGCCAAUCCCAAAAACUUCCUCUCAGUUCAGAUUGCAGGCUGCAACUCGCCUGCAUGAAGCUGGAAUCGCUAGUAAUCGUAUAUCAGCAAUGAUACGGUGAAUACGUUCCCGGACCUUGCACACACCGCCCGUCAAGCCAUGGGAGUCGGGUGUACCUAAGGUCGGUAACCGAAAG
rnacentral:rRNA from 1 species